rnacentral:lncRNA from 1 species
AUUUAAGAUUCAGCUCAAAUACUUACUAAUUGGCAAAUCCACAGAUUACCUUAGGGAAUUGGUGUUAGAGAUAAACUCUUAAGCAGUUCAGGAUUGUUUGGAAAAUGUUUGUUUAAAGAGUUUUUACAUUUUAUGCAGAUGAAAAUCAGAAUCCUAGAAGGUAAUUCCUUUAUUCUGACUUCAAAUCUAGAAAGAUUUACAUUAACUUUUCUUUCAUUACCUUUUCCCUCACACACACACACACACACACACACACAUUCAACACCUUAUUAAGAACAAGGUGUUUAGAACUCUUACUGUGUGCUCUGGUUCACUUACUGUGAACAAAUCAUUUUAUUUAUCCCAACAACCCAACAAGCUAGCUUAUAUUAUUGUACAUAUCAUCCAUAAGAGAAAACUGAACCCAUAAAAGGUUGAAUCUCUGAGUUUAAAUCUACAUGAGUCUUAAAUCUAAAGCCCAUUCUUUGUUCUCUUUACCAAGAUGGAGUUAUAUUCAUUAAUCAUUAAUUUUACUAGUUAGGUCUACUUGAUCUCUAACUUUUCUGGAGUCUAGGAAUACAAAGGUGAGUGAAAUGGACAUGAACCUCAAGGUUUGAAAGUAUGUGAAUAGUGUUCUCCUUGUAAAUUGAUCAUACUGUCAAUGAGCAAUUUCUGCACAUUCAUAGGCUUUAGUCCUCAACACAUGGUAUUCAGUGAUGCUGCAGAGGCCACCAACAAUGCUGGGAAUCUUCUGAAUUCUGUAAGACAGUAUGUAGAAUCCAGUCUUUGGUGGCUGUGUUAGCCUUAGCUGAUUGUUUAGGUGUUGGAGAAGACUCGAGAGUCCCUUGGACUGCAAGGAGAUCCAAGUCCAUCCUAAAAGAAAUCAGUCCUGGGUGUUCAUUGGAAGGGCUGAUGUUGAAGCUGAAACUCCAAUAUUUUGGCCACCUGAUGUGAAGAGCUG